UAUGUGGAUACGUUGAAGAGUUACGUGUAACUUGGUAUCGUCCACAGCCUGCAAAGCCUCACUAAACUUUCUGAAACAUUGAAAGAAGUGAAAAAUCACGGCGUUGAGCUAUAACGUUUAGUAGGUUCAUUCUUGAAAAAGGUAAGCUCG
rnacentral:ncRNA from 12 species